CCCUUAGAUGUCCUGGGCCGCACGCGCGUUACACUGAUGCAUUCAACGAGCUUAUAACCUAGGCCGAGAGGCCUGGGCAAUCUUGUUAACGUGCAUCGUGAUAGGGAUAGAUUAUUGAAAUUAUUAAUCUUGAACGAGGAAUUCCUAGUAAACGCAGAUCAUCAAUCUGCAUUGAUUACGUCCCUGCCCUUUGUACACACCGCCCGUCGCACCUACCGAUUGGAUGGUCCGGUGAAGCCUCGGGAUUGUGGUUCUUGCCGCUUUAUUGUGGCGUGACCGCGAGAACUUGUCUAAACCUUAUCAUCUAGAGGAAGGUGAAGUCGUAACA
rnacentral:rRNA from 1 species